rfam:Escherichia hermannii NBRC 105704 DNA, contig: EH10570413.
UUUACCGGAGGCUUUAUGGAUCCCGAUCCCACCCCGCUUCCCUUAACGGGAAUUCUGUUCCGGUAAGCACGCCUUUUGUCGCUGCUUUACCGGAUGCGUAAGGCAGUGACGCAAC